rnacentral:lncRNA from 10 species
CCAACCUUCACUUGAAAAUUUAUGUAAGGAAAGCUUGGCGGCGAAACAGGAUGCUUCCACCUGUUCCUCAAAGAGCUAUCAAAUGGCCCUGUGAACAUCUUUGCAAAGGGUCCUCGCGAAUGCCAGGCCUCAAGUGCGAUUCUCUGCACUGAGGUCAGGAUUUAAUCUGGGCUGGAGAUUUCAGGCAAAUUUUAAAAUGUAAGCAUGUGGACAAGAGUUAACACCUGACAAGUGCAAGCCAAGCUGAAGAGCAUGGACAGAGGAGGCAACCUGGAGGUCCAACUUCUACUCCAUGCUCCACUCAGAUGUCACCUCCAGGAAGCCUUUCCUGACUUCUCCCAGACUGGGGCAAGCUCCCUGAAGGCAGGAAUUGUUUCUUUCUCAUCUGUGUCCCCAAACCCCACUAAUGGCUGCCACACUGUCCUCAAUUAAGCCAUCCCAGAAAGGAGGAGCUAGUUGAGUGGAAGCAGGAUGGAGGAGGUAGGAUUUUAGCUGGUCACAGGGAGAAUGAGGGAGGGCAACAGCUUAAAU